AUGGCGAUCAAGCUUAUACCAGUAGCAUUUUUCUUGCUCAUCCUAGCCUUUGCUGAGUCCAGCGACAGGGGCGAACCUCCAUCUUCUCAAAAAGAUGGCUUUGGUGAAAGUGCGUACGCGGUACAUUGGGAUCCCCCUUCAAAAGAAGGAGGUUCUGGGGCAAGUCCUUAUAAGGUGAAUUGGAGCCCAGAAGAUGCACCUUCCAAAGAAAAAGGUUUUGGGGCAAGUGCUUAUGCGGUACACUGGGAUCCAGAUCAUCCACCAUCUGAAGAAAAAGGUUCUGGGACAAGUUUUGAUAAGGCGACUUGGAGCCCAGAAGAUGCACCUUCAAAAGAAAAAGGAUUUGAUUCAAGUGCUUAUAAGGUAACUUGGAUCCCAGAUGAUGCACCUUCUGAAGAGAAAGGAUUUGGUGCAAGUGCUUAUGCAGUACAUUGGGAUCCAGAUCAUCCACCUGUUGAAAAAACCGCGCGUGACAGCAAUAGCCAUGUGUCAUAUGAACACAUCUGA
rnacentral:rRNA from 1 species